rnacentral:rRNA from 1 species
AUUGAACGCUGGCGGCAGGCCUAACACAUGCAAGUCGAGCGGAUGAAGGGAGCUUGCUCCUGGAUUCAGCGGCGGACGGGUGAGUAUUGCCUAGGAAUCUGCCUGGUAGUGGGGGAUAACGUCCGGAAACGGGCGCUAAUACCGCAUACGUCCUGAGGGAGAAAGUGGGGGAUCUUCGGACCUCACGCUAUCAGAUGAGCCUAGGUCGGACUAGCUAGUUGGUGGGGUAAAGGCCUACCAAGGCGACGAUCCGUAACUGGUCUGAGAGGAUGAUCAGUCACACUGGAACUGAGACACGGCCCAGACUCCUACGGGAGGCAGCAGUGGGGAAUAUUGGACAAUGGGCGAAAGCCUGAUCCAGCCAUGCCGCGUGUGUGAAGAAGGUCUUCGGAUUGUAAAGCACUUUAAGUUGGGAGGAAGGGCAGUAAGUUAAUACCUUGCUGUUUUGACGUUACCAACAGAAUAAGCACCGGCUAACUUCGUG